UAUUGGACAAUGGGCGAAAGCCUGAUCCAGCAAUGCCGCGUGAGUGAUGAAGGCCUUAGGGUUGUAAAGCUCUUUUACCCGGGAUGAUAAUGACAGUACCGGGAGAAUAAGCCCCGGCUAACUCCGUGCCAGCAGCCGCGGUAAUACGGAGGGGGCUAGCGUUGUUCGGAAUUACUGGGCGUAAAGCGCACGUAGGCGGCUUCGUAAGUCAGAGGUGAAAGCCUGGGGCUCAACCCCAGAACUGCCUUUGAGACUGCGAGGCUAGAACGUCGGAGAGGUGAGUGGAAUUCCGAGUGUAGAGGUGAAAUUCGUAGAUAUUCGGAAGAACACCAGUGGCGAAGGCGGCUCACUGGACGACUGUUGACGCUGAGGUGCGAAAGCGUGGGGAGCAAACAG
rnacentral:rRNA from 1 species